GCUACCCGUGUGUGUCGCACUAUGAAAACCCGAAUGUAAAAGAAAACAGAGUGUCUGUGGUCACCGUGUAGACUUAAGGUCAAUAUGCAGAAUUCAGCUACCCGUGUAUGUCGCACUAUGAAAACCCGAAUGUAAAAGAAAACAGAGUGUCUGUGGUCACCGUGUAGACUUAAGGUCACCAAAGAGGUUUGUGUUCUACCUGGUCAACAUGCAGCAUUCAGCUACCCGUGUAUGACACACUAUGGCAACCCGAG